CUUAACACAUGCAAGUCGAGGGGCAGCAUUUUAGUUUGCUUGCAAACUGAAGAUGGCGACCGGCGCACGGGUGAGUAACACGUAUCCAACCUGCCGAUAACUCCGGAAUAGCCUUUCGAAAGAAAGAUUAAUACCGGAUAGCAUACGAAUAUCGCAUGAUAUUUUUAUUAAAGAAUUUCGGUUAUCGAUGGGGAUGCGUUCCAUUAGUUUGUUGGCGGGGUAACGGCCCACCAAGACUACGAUGGAUAGGGGUUCUGAGAGGAAGGUCCCCCACAUUGGAACUGAGACACGGUCCAAACUCCUACGGGAGGCAGCAGUGAGGAAUAUUGGUCAAUGGGCGAGAGCCUGAACCAGCCAAGUAGCGUGAAGGAUGAAGGCUCUAUGGGUCGUAAACUUCUUUUAUAUGGGAAUAAAGUUUUCCACGUGUGGAAUUUUGUAUGUACCAUAUGAAUAAGGAUCGGCUAACUCCGUGCCAGCAGCCGCGGUAAUACGGAGGAUCCGAGCGUUAUCCGGAUUUAUUGGGUUUAAAGGGAGCGUAGGUGGAUUGUUAAGUCAGUUGUGAAAGUUUGCGGCUCAACCGUAAAAUUGCAGUUGAAACUGGCAGUCUUGAGUACAGUAGAGGUGGGCGGAAUUCGUGGUGUAGCGGUGAAAUGCUUAGAUAUCACGAAGAACUCCGAUUGCGAAGGCAGCUCACUAGACUGUCACUGACACUGAUGCUCGAAAGUGUGGGUAUCAAACAGGAUUAGAUACCCUGGUAGUCCACACAGUAAACGAUGAAUACUCGCUGUUUGCGAUAUACAGUAAGCGGCCAAGCGAAAGCAUUAAGUAUUCCACCUGGGGAGUACGCCGGCAACGGUGAAACUCAAAGGAAUUGACGGGGGCCCGCACAAGCGGAGGAACAUGUGGUUUAAUUCGAUGAUACGCGAGGAACCUUACCCGGGCUUAAAUUGCAACAGAAUAUAUUGGAAACAGUAUAGCCGUAAGGCUGUUGUGAAGGUGCUGCAUGGUUGUCGUCAGCUCGUGCCGUGAGGUGUCGGCUUAAGUGCCAUAACGAGCGCAACCCUUAUCUUUAGUUACUAACAGGUCAUGCUGAGGACUCUAGAGAGACUGCCGUCGUAAGAUGUGAGGAAGGUGGGGAUGACGUCAAAUCAGCACGGCCCUUACGUCCGGGGCUACACACGUGUUACAAUGGGGGGUACAGAAGGCGGCUACCUGGUGACAGGAUGCUAAUCCCAAAAACCUCUCUCAGUUCGGAUCGAAGUCUGCAACCCGACUUCGUGAAGCUGGAUUCGCUAGUAAUCGCGCAUCAGCCAUGGCGCGGUGAAUACGUUCCCGGGCCUUGUACACACCGCCCGUCAAGCCAUGAAAGCCGGGGGUACCUGAAGUACGUAACCGCAAGGAGCGUCCUAGGGUAAAACUGGUAAUUGGGGCUAAGUCA
rnacentral:rRNA from 1 species